rnacentral:lncRNA from 1 species
CACAGGAUUCACAAACAUUAACUUUAUGCUUAAAUCUAUAUGCGAUACAUUAUGCAUAUAAUUAUAAUUCACGAUAAUAUCGCAUAUGGAAGUAACUGGAAUAAAUUUGGACUAUUUCCUUCGGAAGUUUACAGGACUGUCCUGUCAAAAGACCUCCCUCGUGUUUACAUAUUUUGACAGGUCGAGUUGUUCUGGGACUAGGAACAAUGAUGAAUGAAUACCUGCACCAUGGAAACAAUGUCAUUUGCAAACUUUUUGAACCUGUACUGGGCGUUCACAUUGACAUUUCUUGUUCAACAGGAAUACAUGAUGUCGACCAACAGUACAGCUAGAUGAAGAUAUAAAUUUAUUCAAAGAAAUAAUGGGACAAUGAAUGCUAAAUUUGCCAAGAAG